AACUAUAAAGUUGGAAAAUUUGUGAAAUGUGUUUCAUCACUGGCUCUCCAUGCUGCAGUGGGGAGGCUGGACAGAUCCUGACCAGGAAAUUGAUGCUUAGCUUAAAAGCCUCUACAUUUGAAUGAAAAUUUUGUUGAUGGGCUCAGAAGCAUUCUAUGCGACAAUAGUUUGGAUAAAGAAUUCAUCGCAAAGGCUAUAACUCUCCCCGGAGAAGGGGAGAUCAUGGAUACGAUGGAGGUUGCAGAUCCUGAUGUUGUUCAUGCAGUCCGGACUUCCAUAAAAAAGGAACUUGCGCGCGUUGCAGCUGAAGACUUGCUACGCACAGUCCUAGAAAACAAGAUCUCUGAGUGCGCAAUAUGAGUUUAACCACCCUAAUAUGGCCAGAUGGGCACUAAAGAACAUUUCACUUGGUGCAUGGACUAAGUGGAGGAGAUUAAAUAAAAUACGAACGUCUGACAAAUCUCAACGACUUCGUAAACUUGGUUGUUGAUGUAAAUGGCGAUCCAAUCUGCGGUGUAAUAUUGUAAAUAUUGUUUUAGGAGAACAAUAACUUAGUUUUGAUGGUGUAUUUGUCAUUUGUUGUAAAAGCCAUAAUGUACAUACCUGAAGUUUGCAACUUUUUGAUGUCAAUGGAAUUCCCUAAUUU